UUAGGUUCAGCGGGUAUCCCUACCUGAUCCGAGGUCAACCUUGGUGAAUAAAACUGCCCGGGGGCAACGUUUUGACGGCGUGGCCGCGCCGCGCUCCAGUGCGAGAUGUGCUACUACGCAGGGGAGGCUGCAGCGAGACCGCCACUAAUUUCAGGGCCGGCCGCGCCCAAAGAGCGGGAAGCCGGGCCCCAACACCAAGC
rnacentral:misc_RNA from 1 species